GAUGAACGCUGGCGGCGUGCCUAAUACAUGCAAGUCGAGCGAACGGACGAGACGCUUGCUUCUCUGACGUUAGCGGCGGACGGGUGAGUAACACGUGUAUCACCUACCUAUAAGACUGGGAUCACUUCGGGACACCGGAGCUAAUACCGGAUGAUAUUUUGAACCGCAUGGUUCAAUAGUGAAAGACGGUCUUGCUGUCACUUCUAGAUGCAUCCGCGCUGCAUUAGCUAGUUGGUAAGGUAACGGCUUACCAAGGCAACGAUGCAUAGCCGACCGGAGAGGGGGAUAGGCCACACUGGAACGGAGACACGGUCCAGACUCCUACGGGAGGCAGCAGUAGGGAAUCUGCCGCAAUGGGCGAAAGCCUGACGGAGCAACGCGGAGUGAGUGAUGGAGGUGUUGGGAUCGUAAAACUCUGUUAGUGGGGAAAAACAGAUGUGUAAGUAACUGAGCACAUCGUGACGGUACCUAAUCAGAAAGCAACGGCUAACUACGUG
rnacentral:rRNA from 1 species